GAUGGUCCGGCUGAUAACACGUGCCACGCGUCACUAUGAGCUGCGUGCCACGUGUUUCCCAAGGGGAGGGGUCCCUACAUUGCCCCCCUUUUUAACUUGCCUAUUUUGCCCAAAAAAUGGGCGGGUUAAAAAUAACUGGCUUUUGAAAACUGAAGAAGUCCCUUCGUCUGACUGGGCCACGUGGCGAGUGGGGGUGCGGAAGCCAAAAAGGCAUUUUUUAUGACGAGCCGCCGACCCUGCGUAUCCCCAGACAAUAUGUCGUUUCAAUGAUAACAUGGCUGUUGGUUUGGCUUUCCGAGGGGCUGUCCUGCUAUAAAUAGGGUACUGUACCUCUUUUUGUAUUCUUUCCUACUGCAUUCUCUUGAGAGUCUUUCUUCUUACUGCUUUUUCUACGCCCUUUGCUUUUCUGAGAAACGAGAAAAAAAAGACUCCGAAAGCUCUUUUGUACCAGUGCUUUUGUAUCGC
rnacentral:lncRNA from 1 species